GAGCCCAAUAAGGUCCUUAAGGAUGAGGGGUUAGAAGUGAGGGGUCACUUAACCAUAACCUCUUAAGGAUGAAGAGAGAGUCCAAGGAGAGACUCUCUAAGAAAAACCAAAAAUUUUCUUCUCUUCGUUGUUGAAUGUUACUUGCAACUGACCUGUAGUACUAAAGGAGGGAACUCGUAGGCCGAAGCUCUCAAGUCAUGCGAAACCAUCAUACUUUCCAUUUUCCUCUUUUGAUUUGGAUUCUUCAAGAGGUUUGGUCACUUAAAGCGCUCAUGGGGCUGGCUCACUCCAAGCGAGCUUGGAUGGUUAUUCAAAGAUGCUCCAAAACAAAUUUCAGACACUCAAAACAAGCUUUGAUCUCUCAAAGUGAAUGUGUUAGGCAUUCCGAGCGAAUUCCAAUCGCUCAUCAAAGUUUCUUUCAUAAAGCAAACGCAAUGUUGAAGUGUGUGGAGCAGAUUAACGGAGUAGAAGAGAUGGUAAGCAAAUAGCAAUGAAGAAGGAAAUAAGGGUAUGGACCCCUUUGGGGCCAAAAAGAAGGAAAAGAAGUUUGAGAAAAUGAAUGAAAAAGGACAAAAAUGUAUGUGAUGCGCAGGAGCAAGUUGAACAAAGAAAGCAUGUUUUAGAACAUUCUAUCUUCGUUAGAUGAGAUAUUUUUGCAAAAGCUGUAUGUGAGACAACCCCGUCAUACAUAUACAUAUUUGUUCUUUUGCUUUUAAAUCCUUUGCUGGAAACUAUAUAUGCAAAUGACAUUCUCUAUA